rnacentral:rRNA from 1 species
ACAUGCAAGUCGAACGGUAACGCGGAGAGCUUGCUCUCUGGCGACGAGUGGCGGACGGGUGAGUAAUACUUAGGAAUCUACCCAGUAGUGGGGGACAACAUUCGGAAACGGAUGCUAAUACCGCAUACGCACUACGGUGGAAAGUGGGGGACCUUCGGGCCUCACGCUAUUGGAUGAGCCUAAGUCGGAUUAGCUUGUUGGUGAGGUAAUGGCUCACCAAGGCGACGAUCCGUAGCUGGUCUGAGAGGACGAUCAGCCACACUGGGACUGAGACACGGCCCAGACUCCUACGGGAGGCAGCAGUGGGGAAUAUUGGACAAUGGGCGCAAGCCUGAUCCAGCAAUGCCGCGUGUGUGAAGAAGGCCUGCGGGUUGUAAAGCACUUUCAGUAGAGAAGAAAAGCCUAGGGAUAAUACCCCUGAGUCUUGACGUAACCUACAGAAGAAGCACCGGCUAACUCCGUG